UAACGCGUAAGUAACCUACCCCUAAGUGGGGGAUAACUUGCCGAAAGGCAGGCUAAUACCGCAUAUUCUGGUAAGCAUUUAGCUUAUCAGCAAAGCUUUUGCGCUUGGGGAGGGGCUUGCGUCUGAUUAGAUAGUUGGUAGGGUAAUGGCCUACCAAGUCAGUGAUCAGUAGCUGGUCUGAGAGGACAACCAGCCAGACGGGGACUGAGAUACGGCCCUGACUCCUACGGGAGGCAGCAGCAAGGAAUUUUGCGCAAUGGGCGAAAGCCUGACGCAGCGACGUCGCGUGGGGGAUGACGGCCUUCGGGUUGUAAACCCCUUUUCCCGAGGAAGAAAUAUGACGGUACUCGGGGAAUAAGUCUUGGCUAACUACGUGCCAGCAGCCGCGGUAAUACGUAGAAGGCGAACGUUAUCCGGAUUUACUGGGCGUAAAGAGGGUGUAGACGGUUCUUUAAGUCAGUUGUGAAAUCUCCCGACUCAAUCGAGAGACUGCAAUUGAUACUGGGGAGCUUGAGGGCAUCAGAAGAAAGCGGAAUUCACGGUGUAGCGGUGAAAUGCGUAGAUAUCGUGAGGAACACCAGUGGCGAAGGCGGCUUUCUAGGAUGCUCCUGACGUUGAGGCCCGAAAGUGUGGGGAGCGAAACGGAUUAGAUACCCGUGUAGUCCACACCCUAAACGUUGAAUACUAGGUAUAGGGGGUAUCGACCCU
rnacentral:rRNA from 1 species